AUGAGUUUUCUAAACUCCAAACCCUUGAGAACAUACCUAGUUGCCUCGGCGGACUUGCCCUGGGACGACCUACCCUGCAGCGAGUUACCCUGUAACGAGUUGCCCUGUAGAGACCUGCCCUGUAGCCUGCCCGUCGGCGGCCAACCUAAACUCUGUUUUAUUGUGGCACUUCUGAGGAUUAUUCUAAAUGAAUUA
rnacentral:misc_RNA from 1 species